CGCCUCUUGUUAAUAAUAAGAGGUCCAGCCUGCCCAGUGACAAAGUUCAACGGCCGCGGUACCCUAACCGAGCGAAGGUAGCAUAAUCACUUGUUCUUUAAAUAAGGACUUGUAUCAAUGGCACCACGAGGGUCGUACUGUCUCCUUUCUCCAAUCAGUGAAACUGAUCUUCCCGUGAAAAAGCGGGAAUACACAUAUAAGACGAGAAGACCCCAUGGAGCUUUAAACCUCCAGCAACUUAACUAUAAAUUUCUUCACAACCCCAAAGAAAUGCUUGUUGGUUUUAGGUUGGGGUGACCACGGAGUAAAAACCAACCUCCGCAACGCAUAAACCUAAAUUUUUAUUUAAGAACCACAACUCUAAAAAAUAGUAUACUAACGUACACUGAUCCGAUAAUCGAUUAAUGAACCAAGUUACCCUGGGGAUAACAGCGCAAUCUAUUUUAAGAGUUCAUAUCGACAAAUAGGCUUACGACCUCGAUGUUGGAUCAGGGUAUCCCAGUGGUGCAGCCGCUACUGAUGGUUCGUUUGUUCAACGAUUAAAACCCU
rnacentral:rRNA from 1 species